GAUUGGCUAUAGCAACCACUCAGAAAAACAUUUUCUGAAAAUCGUUGCCUUAGGGAAAACAAAAUCAGCAUAUUGCAACGACUAUAAAAUUGUUACAAUAGAAUCAUAUUUUCGUUAACAAUUUUGAAAUGAGUAUAACUAUUGCAAUGGUAUUACAUGGCGUUGCAAUAGAGUCUAAUUUUUGGGCCAAAAAAAUUGGCGGGCAAUUAAAAACUCAAGAGCGGGACAAAUGAAAUAUUUUUACCGGGUUAAUCAAAAUAAAAGAAAACAAGAAAAAGGAAGAUCCACACUCACAAACAAGUCCAUCGACCUCCCGUCACAAACACUGCCCCUGACAAACACUAGACUAAAGAUACAGACAAGAAGAGAUGGGAAGGAGGUCAGAGAGGGGGGGGAGAGAGUAAAUCCAAACAGAUCUGGGCUAAUUUUUAUCCAUCAAUGGAGAUGGAGUGAUUGACCAUACGGGUCUUUAAUCAAAACUAGGGUUUUUUAAUUUGAAUUGGGGGUUUGUUUUUUGGUAAUUUCUUUUUGUCAAGGUUCAAUUGAAGUUCAUUUUUUUUGUUUUUGGGAUAAUUUGGUUGCUUGAGGUUAAUUUAAUUUAAUUUCUCAGCUUGUACAAUUCAAGAUACAUCCUCUUUGAUUUCAUAUAUGUGUGUGUCAGUGUGUGUAUGUUUUAUGCCCUGUGUAUAUGAUUAAACAGAUUCUGGAUUUAUUCGAAAUGCAUGUGUAUGUAUGUAUGUGUUUAUGCCCUGUUCUUCGGUGUAUGCUCUGUUCUCUCUCUCCCCUCAUUAAUAGGGUGAGUGGAGUGGUUCAAGUUAUAGUCUGUGCUUUGACUAUGCUUGAUUCCGUUUCCUGUUUUUCUAGGAUAUAUUUUAGCAUCCUAAUCAGGUCAUGGCGUUAUGCAAUUGUUCAAUGACCUCUACUAGUAUGAUUAUAUGUUCAUACUUCUUGUUGAAGGUUAAAGAAUAAUACCAUAGCAAUAGGGGCACAGUGAUGAUCAGAGUCUUUCCCUCUUACAUACUUUGACCCAUUUUGGUUUACUAGCUUAGUUCUAUAAGGCAGGGUUAUUCCAGAGAGCGUGAUCUAUAGUUAUGGAACUAUACUGCUAGAUCUGUUGAGUGGAAAGCAUAUCCCUCCAAGCCAUGGUCUACCUACUGAGCUCAAGAAAAGGAAUGAACUAAAGAAAAUAUGUGCUUCUACCCUUGCUUCUGAGUUUCCCAAGGAUUGCAAGUUUUUUCCGGCAGAUACAAAGGAUGAUUUGCACAAGAAGAUGGAGUGUUUUCUGUUGACCCUUUGAGAACAGCGAAUAGAGUAAUACCUGCCUGGGCAUUGAGAUUGGCGAAAGCAAAGGAAGACAACGAGGCUUCUACCCCGUGCAACACCUCUGGUCUCUAUCCUGCUAGCGGGGGUAAUUUGCACAGCUUCAGGGCAAUCAAGCCAUGUGCAUUCCUCGAUGUGCUUGCGCCGCCUUACUCCCAUUCCGAAGGCAGGCGCUGCACGUUCUACAGGAAAUAUGAUUUCUCUAUUCUACCAGGAUAUCAAUGGACUUGGAGACCUCUAAGAAAGCUUCUGAUAUGGAGGAUAAACUUAACAAAAACUGAAGACACUUGACUUAGAAAGAAUCCCUCCCUACAUAUAAAUGUCGAAGAAAUAUGAGCUAGUGGUCAGAAUUAACAUGAGCCGAAUACCGAUAGCGAUGCAGUUGAUUAUUCAUGAUCCGUAGUACUAUGAUUUAGGCUUGGCCCACUUUGAUAUCAAAAAUUUGAUGUACUUGACCUAUUUUGGCCUAUUUCCGUUAGUGUUCUAAACUCAGAAUUAUUAUUUUAAUUUAGUUACUAUGGUACUGAUCUUGGUUGUGGUCUUCUAGGAAGUGGUUGUGGCAGUGUAGGAAUGAUCAGACUUGUGGUCGGUAAAAGUCUUAUUAUUGUUUUUGGGAUUUGUUGGUGUUGAACUUUUAAAGGUGGAUUAAUAUAUUUAUGAAAUGGCCAUGGGCUAAUUUUUUUAACCAAAUUGUUGCAAUAUAUGACUAAAACAUUGCAUUAGAGAAUGCUUUUGUAAUUGUAAAUAAUUCAAAUAUCAAUGCAUUUGGGACCAAAAAUGUUGCCACAGGUUGUAUAUGGCAAUGAUUAAUCAAAAGGAAGUGUUGCAAUUUUUUGUUGCAAUAGAACCACAAACAACUGCAAUGACUUAAAUACCAUUGCUAUA